GAGAGGGAGAGGAAGGGGGCGACAAUCCACUAAAACAAUGGAGUAUGGACAGGCUAAUUUCACAAUUUCUCACUCAAGUUUUCACUAAACCCUAUUAUGCUGACGAGAGAAAAAAAAAAUCAUGCCAUGAAAAUAACAGAAAAGGUAGAAAAUCACGAUUUGAACACCAUUACAGGCAGCAACCAGUCUCCCGAUUGCUUACACUGACUUGGCGGUGAAAAAUAUUGUUAAUUGGUUGGUUGUUGUUACCACACCUCCACCAUAAAUCACAAACAAAGAGAAUUGCAGUUUCAACAAGUUCAAGAACCAGCAGACGGUAUAAUAAAUUUCCCUUUUUUUCUCUUUUUUCCUCUUCUUGAUUUUGAGUUCUUGCUAAGGAUGAUGACAAUGAUGCACAAUGUUUUACUGUGCUCAAUAGAGAUUCUUUUCUCUUGACCUCCUCUACCAAAACCACCUCCAAUGCCAAGAUCAGACCCAGCUCCACCAUCCGUAACACCUCCUCCCUCACCUCCAUCCUCUAAAUUUCCACAUUUAAUGUCAGCUCUUCAGACAUGUCCAGCAUGACCACCACCACUGAAAUUCAUCCCCAUGUGUUCCUGCAAAGUUUGCAUGUAUAAGCAAAGCAAAAGGAUACCAUAUUUCGUGUUGCUUGUCAACAGAAAAUAAGCAUUUGUGCAUGCCAAUAAGACUUCUUCCCUCAUUCGUGGCCAGCUGAAUGUCAAAACAAGCAGCUGAUGCAUCUGAUGCCCUUGAUAACAAAUAUCACCCAUCAAAUCAUCCUGAUUUCAUGAUCAACACAUUGCCUAAUGCCGCUAAUAAAAGGUAAUUUGCAAAAUUCAAGUUAAGUACCCAAUGUUGAUGGAGCCUCUGAGGAGAGAUGAUGUAGUUGUAAUUAGAGAGCUGGAGAUUAGCGAUCCCACUUUAUUUGAUUUAAUUGGUGAAGUAAUUAGGACAGGUUUUUCCACUUCUCUGUCUCUAAUUUCCCUCCACAUCUCAAGGCAUCUUUAGCUUCUAGAAGAGGUGUGAUGUGAUGCAAUUGAAAUCAAAACAGCUUUGUCUUCUUCAGGUCGUCUUUCAGCUUCUACUACUUGAGCUUGUUUGCUACUAAGUGAAAGUGAGAGUGAAUUGCUGCAAACACAAAACAAUACUUUGGGGAUGAAGACAACAAGCUCCAACUGCUUGUCUUUGUUGCUGGCAAGCAAGGAUAAGAAACGAGUGCCCAGAGACAGUGCAAGAGGGAUUGGAGAUGGAGAAGACGGCGUUGCAUCUUUCAGGAGACAGUAUCAGGGAUUUGUGGGAAUGUUGUGGGAUCCAGCAUCAUCUUUUACCAUAUAAUAAAUACUCCCACCGCCACAUCAACACAAUCAAAUGGAAGACUAAAUGCUGCACGUAAUGGUAGCCUAAUUGUGAUUUUUUGCCACUUCAAUUAUUUUUACAGCAAGAUUUUUUCCGGUGAGCAUAAUGGGGUUUGGUGGAAACUCGAGUGAGCAUGCGUGAAAUUAGCCUGAGUAAGGACUGCUUUUGCAUGCAAUCUCAGAUCAUGUAAAAUAAAUGUCAAUAACUGACUGCAUAAAUCAUGGGCAGUCUUGAACAAAUCUAUUUAUGAUACAAAAUAUCAUACAAAGAGUUAAAAGUGUCAUUUUGAAGCUUGAAUAUCUGAUCUCAAAUCAAAUGAAUCAGCUGUCCUGCAUUUUAAGGUAGGGAAUCUAGCAAUAACCAAAGUUUAAGCACAAGGACAAAGACCCCUAGAAACUUGCAUCAAACUUACCAUUAACAAACACAGCAAGAGG
rnacentral:misc_RNA from 1 species